GUGCUCGCUUCAGCAGCACACAUACUAAAAUUGGAAGAAUGCAGAGAUUAGUAUGGCCCCUUCAUAAGAAAGACACAUAAAAGAAUAGCUAAUAUAAAGCCAGUGCUUUUUU